rnacentral:rRNA from 1 species
CAGCAGCCGCGGUAACACAGAGGGUGCGAGCGUUAAUCGGAUUUACUGGGCGUAAAGCGUGCGUAGGCGGCUUCUUAAGUCGGAUGUGAAAUCCCUGAGCUUAACUUAGGAAUUGCAUUCGAUACUGGGAAGCUAGAGUAUGGGAGAGGAUGGUAGAAUUCCAGGUGUAGCGGUGAAAUGCGUAGAGAUCUGGAGGAAUACCGAUGGCGAAGGCAGCCAUCUGGCCUAAUACUGACGCUGAGGUACGAAAGCAUGGGGAGCAAACAGGAUUAGAUACCCCAGUAGUCCCUGUCUCUUAUAC